UGAGGGAUAUUGGUCAAUGGGCGCAAGCCUGAACCAGCGACGCCGCGUGGGUGAAGAAGGUCUUCGGAUCGUAAAGCCCUUUUCCCACUGAAGAGGAAGGACGGUAGGUGGGGAAGAAGUCUCGGCUAACUAUGUGCCAGCAGCCGCGGUAAAACGUAGGAGACAAGCGUUAUCCGGAGUUACUGGGCGUAAAGGGCGUGCAGGUGGCGUCUUAAGUCUGUUGUGAAAGCGCCUGGCUUAACCGGGCGAGGCCAAUGGAGACUGAGAGGCUGGAGGACGGCGGAGGGGUGUGGAAUUCCGGGUGUAGUGGUGAAAUGCGUAGAGAUCCGGAGGAACACCAGGGGCGAAGGCGGCACUCUAAGCCGUACCUGACACUGAGACGCGACAGCACGGGGAGCAAACG
rnacentral:rRNA from 1 species